GCCGGGGUAGCUCAGCCCGGUAGAGCGCCCGGCUGUUAACCGGGUGGUCGAGGGUUCAAAUCCCUCCCCCGGCGCCA
rnacentral:tRNA from 1 species